rnacentral:rRNA from 1 species
GAUGAACGCUGGCGGCGUGCCUAAUACAUGCAAGUCGAGCGAACAGACGAGGAGCUUGCUCCUCUGACGUUAGCGGCGGACGGGUGAGUAACACGUGGAUAACCUACCUAUAAGACUGGGAUAACUUCGGGAAACCGGAGCUAAUACCGGAUAAUAUAUUGAACCGCAUGGUUCAAUAGUGAAAGACGGUUUUGCUGUCACUUAUAGAUGGAUCCGCGCCGCAUUAGCUAGUUGGUAAGGUAACGGCUUACCAAGGCAACGAUGCGUAGCCGACCUGAGAGGCGGGGCCCCCACGCGAGAAUAGACACCCGGCCCGGCCCCCGAGGGGGGGCACCAGGAGGGAAUCUCCCGAAAGGGGCGAAACCCGGCAGGACCAACCCGGGGUGAUGAAUAAAGGUUUUGGAAACAAAAAACCUUUUUAUGGGGGAGAAAAAAUUGUGAAAGAAACUAUGCACUUUUGGACGUUCCCUAAGAAGAAAGCCACGCAAAACUACGUG